CGCCCUUCCAGAGGGGGACAACAGUUGGAAACGACUGCUAAUACCGCAUACGAUCCAAUCUCGGCAUCGAGGAUGGAUGAAAGGUGGCCUCUAUUUAUAAGCUAUCACUGAAGGAGGGGAUUGCGUCUGAUUAGCUAGUUGGAGGGGUAACGGCCCACCAAGGCAAUGAUCAGUAGCCGGUCUGAGAGGAUGAACGGCCACAUUGGGACUGAGACACGGCCCAG
rnacentral:rRNA from 1 species